GACGAACGCUGGCGGCGCGCUUAACACAUGCAAGUCGAACGGAAGGGCCCUACUUUUGUGGGGUGCUCGAGUGGCGAACGGGUGAGUAACGCGUGAGUAACCUGCCCUAGAGUUUGGGAUAACAGCAGGAAACUGGGGCUAAUACCGGAUAGGAGCUCCAGCCGGAUGGGGGGGGAUGGAAAGGGGCGGCGGUGGGGGAUGGACUCGCGGCUUAUCAGCUUGUUGGUGGGGUAGUGGCUUACCAAGGCUGUGACGGGUAGCCGGCCUGGGAGGGUGACCGGCCACGUUGGGAUUGGGAUACGGCCCAGCCUCCUACGGGAGGCAGCGGUGGGGAAUAGUGCACUAUGGGCGGAAGCCUGAUGCAGCAACGCCGCGUGGGGGAUGACGGCCUUCGGGUUGUAAACCGCUUUCGCCUGUGACGAAGCGUGAGUGACGGUAAUGGGUAAAGAAGCACCGGCUAACUACGUG
rnacentral:rRNA from 1 species